CCUCUACGUCAUUGGCGUCGGUCUUCUGGAUGGCAUGUCCGCUCCAACCUCGAAGAAAGAAAAGAGGAAAUAACAUAAUACGGGAACAAAAAUAAAUAAAUCGAUAAAUAUUAUGGAGAGCUGGGAGAUUAUUCUACAAUCUUAUAUGUCAAUAUGGAAUGUCAUCCUUAAUAUCCAUUUAUUAUUUUACUAUUAUUGUAGAGACUUCUCCUA
rnacentral:lncRNA from 1 species